UACGGAGGGGGCUAGCGUUGUUCGGAAUUACUGGGCGUAAAGCGCACGUAGGCGGCUUUGCAAGUUAGAGGUGAAAGCCCGGGGCUCAACUCCGGAAUUGCCUUUAAAACUGCAUCGCUAGAAUUGUGGAGAGGUAAGUGGAAUUCCGGGUGGAGCGGUGAAAUGCGUAGAGAUCCGGAGGAACACCGACGGCGAAGGCAGCCUUCUGGAAAGUACCUGACGCUGAGGGGCGAAAGCUAGGGGAGCGAACGGG
rnacentral:rRNA from 1 species